rnacentral:misc_RNA from 1 species
UGUGGGAGCGGGCUUGCUCGCGAAAGCGGUGGAUCAGUCAACCUAUGUAUUGACUGAUCCACCGCUUUCGCGAGCAAGCCCGCUCCCACA